AUUGUACUCCCUCUAUCUCAAAAUUCUUGUCUUAGAUUUAUCUAUAUAUGAAUGUAUCUAGUCACAUUUNNNUAUUUAGAUACAUCCAUUUCUAGAAAAACUUAAGACAAUAAUUUUGGAACGGAGGGAGUACAUA
rfam:Hordeum vulgare subsp. vulgare, WGS project CAJW01000000 data, contig: morex_contig_41782